rnacentral:rRNA from 1 species
UACGUAGGGGGCUAGCGUUGUCCGGAUUUAUUGGGCGUAAAGCGCGUGUAGGCGGCCAGAUAGGUCUGCUGUGAAAACUCGAGGCUCAACCUCGAGCUGUCGGCGGAAACCAUCCGGCUAGAGUCCGGAAGAGGAGAGUGGAAUUCCCGGUGUAGCGGUGAAAUGCGCAGAUAUCGAGGAGACACCGGUAGGCGAAGGCGGGCUCUGGGCCGAUCACUGCGCUGAGGAGCGAAGACGUAGGGGAGCGAACAGG